UAAAAUGUUUAGAUCAGAGGAUAAGUUUACCGGUGAAGAACAACUCAAAAGAGUUUCAUAAAGCUUACUUAUGUCACAGAGCUAUAAUCAGCAGUUGAAAUCUUGAGGUGAGUGAAAAAAGAUAACAUUCUAAGAUGAAACCUUCUAAUAAAGGUCCGAAAAAGUUUUGCACAAAUCAUUCUUCAGAGUUGAUAAUUUAUCAUAAACAUAUAUCAAUACGAUGAGUGAUUAUGUCACCAAAUUGCAGUAGCAAUUCUACGCAACAUAUUUACCCCUACGCGUAGAAAAAAUGUGUUUCAUGGUUUGUUUACAUCUAGAGGUGGUUUCUUGGUUGCCAUUUGUGGCUCGCUUCCAUGGUCACCUUAAUAUUUGGAAAUUAAGAUGUAUGUGCAGCGAUAUCAUUUUUUUUAGGAAACGAACCUAGCGACGUUGCUUCCUGGAUCCAUCAACGUGAAAACUAUAAUCACUAUUUGUUACUGGUAAGUAAGCAACAAAUCCCCCCUCUAAUUUCUAACCUUCCGUCCUCUGUUAACUUUUUUUUUCUAUAGUUGAUCUGCAACUAUUGUCUAUUUUUUCUAUUCCUAAAUUAUUCGUUUUUUUUACAUUAUUUACAUUUUUUUGUCGUGAAUACGACUUACUUUACUAUGGGGCGCCUUUUCAAUAUUAGCCAUAUGGAAGAAUGGGCAGAACUUAAUCGUGAAUAUCUCGACUUGUAUUAAUGGCAGCAACAUAAUUCUUUCACUAUUUCAUCAAAAAUAUGAUCAUCAAUUUAGGAUAAUAUUUUGAACAGUGUGAGAUAACCACAAACAAAUCAAAAAUUAAGUUUUUUUUUAAUUUUAAAACAACGCGGAAAACUCUUUACUUUUGUUUGGGUUUUUCGCGCAGGGACGACGAUUUUGUGGAAGUCAGACACAUCUUCAACUGAACGUUGUAUAAGGGGAACCGUGGUCGAAAAUCGAUCAUUUCUUCUUGUGCGUUGGAUGAAAGCAGACGUCGGGGCGAGAAAACACAUUCAAACAGCGGCAUCGGAGAGCGCACCUUCUGCGUGGUUAAAAAUCUUAAACACUCAGGUCGUAGUUCUCAGUUUGUACGCAAAGCUAGUUUCAAUUCAAGCAAGAACGAUUGCAUCUGCUGCUGGUGCUUUGCAUUGGAGAGAAAGUUAUGUGUUAUCUAAAGAACUAUUAAGAUUACUUCUUUGAAAUUCGAAGGUAGAAAUCAUCAGUUUAGUGAAAAUCCAAAAUAAUUUGAUUUGGUUCAUGCACUUUUCGCUGUGCGAAAAUCGUUCGAGAUAAAUGUUUCGAACUGUGCUAAAUAUCGUAGAGAAUUCCAUAAUUUGGUUUUUCUAAAGGGCAGAAAUGAAUCCUGUACAGCAUCAUGAUAGUUUCUUUCAAUGAAAUAUGCAAAUCCGAAAUGAGAUAAUCUACGUCAAAAAUCGUUGAAAAUUUUAGUAGUGAAAAGAGGGAAAGUUUCGCAAUUCACACAAUCGAUCAACUAUCAAUUCGAAUUCGAAAGUGUAAAGAAAUCGUGUCAGAUUUAUUCGUAUUCACGACAUCCGGUUAUGUCUCUGACAUUACACCCGUACUUUUUUUCUAGAACCAAUACCAAUUAGUUUUGUGUGUUUGUGCCUCUAUCGAGUUCUCGUUUCCUUACAUAGCUGUACAUUGAAAAGGGAAUUCUAAUUGGAAUUUGUAAUUAAACUGGGAAUAAUAGUUUAACCAUUCAUUUUUUUUUUGCAAGUCCGCUGAUCUGUAUACUCCCAGCUUAUUACCAUCUAAAUCCUCUAAUUCAAAACAGUGAGUUCCAAGUUUCGCAACAUUUUUUGCCGGUGCGUAUGUGUCGGCAAGUUUUGCAUUAAAUCGUUUUCCCUUGUUAGAAAGAAAAUGAUUUUUUUUUAAACUAUCUCUCCAAUAUUGUAUUGAACUUGUUUCGCGCGUGAUCGUAAGUUGUAAUAUUUCCCAUAUCGCUCAUAUGCCUUUUUUAGAUUCAUUCGUACCUUCCCAAAUAUGUCCUUUUUCUCAUCGCUCAAUUCUUCUGUCUUAUAUUCCAAAUUUUCUCCUACCUCUCUUAUUCUCGAGUACUCAUUUCCUGCACUAAUAUAAUUUCUUCCGAAAUUGACGAAGUAUGGCGUGAAUUCUGUCGAUUCAUGGACCGCUGUCCGAAUAGCCAUUGCGAUUUUCUGCAAAUUUUCAUCCCAUUCAUUUUGUUCUUCUUUUAGGUAUGUCCGAAUGGCUGCUACAAUUACUCGAUUUACACGCUCGGUCGGAUUAUUGGCAGGAUUAUAGUUUGCAUUUUUCCAGUGAUUUACACGGUAUUUCUUCAACAGCGUGGCCAAGACACUCGAUUUAAACUGUGGCCCAUUAUCGGAGAUUAUUAUCUCUGGGACUACGAAUAGCAGAAACACCAUUGAUACUAUGAAUGUCACCAAAUGACUCGCCUUUGCUUCCCUCAUUGGUUGAAUGAUAACAAAUUUGGAGAAAUGAUCAGUAAUCACUAGAAGCAUCGUGUUGCCCAUUUUCGACCGAGGAAACGGACCCAUAUAGUCAAUGGAUAUUACUUGCCAUGGCAUCAUAGCUACUUUUGGAUAACCGAUUUGAGGAAUCCUAGCACCAUUUGGAUGCUUUGCUGUUUUGCACGUUUGGCAUCCUCUACAAAAUCGCUUGAUUUCUUCACACAUACCAGACCAGUAGUAUUUUUCUCGGAUUUUUUUCAUCGUUUUAUAGUACCCGAAAUGAGCAAUGCUAUGCUCGGCUUCCAUGAUUUGAAUCCGAUCAGAUUUUGCGGGUACGUUUUUCCAAUCAAAACGCGGAUCUUCCGGAUUCCCGCUAGGGGUGUAUUUAUAUACAUUUCCUCCUACCACCUUGAAGUCUUUGUACUUCUGCGGAUUCCUAUUGAUGUCAGCUUUCAGUUUUUCCAAGUCUAGGUGUACUGUAAGUAUAUUUAUUUCAUUUAUCGUUCUCGAUAGUGCAUCAGCUAUUAUGUUCAAUUUUCCCUUUCUAUAUUCUAGAACCAUAUCAUGCUGUUGAAGUUUUAGUGCCCACCUUGCCAGUUUUGCUGAAUUUCCCUCGAUGCUGAUUUUGUUUAACCACUUCAAGGAUUGAGCAUCGGUUACAACUUUGAAUUGUGUGCCUUCGACAUAGUGGCAAAACUUUUCGAUAGCCAAUAUAACUGCGAGGCAUUCUCGCUCCGUCGCAGAGUACUUUUUUUGAACAGACGAAAACUUUUUGGAGAAAAACGCGAUCGGUUUUCGUACUCCAUUCUGGUACUGUACCAAGACCGCUCCAGCCGCGACUAACGAUGCAUCGGAUUCAAUAACAAAUUGCAGGUUGAAGUCUGCAUUCGCUAACACCGGAGGUGACCCUACCUCCGAAAUUGAUAUGAGCGUACGAAAAACCUCAAAUGUAGUCAACCAUAACACAACUAAAAGUUAAAUCAAAAUAUUUAAAUUACCGCACGAAAUGACCCGUUAGUUGGGCGCCAAUGUAACAAGUUGUUUCGUCGAUCAUUGAUCCGGUUGGGCUAACCCCUCCACUUAAGCGCCAAACAGACAAAAAGGUUCGCCUGCAUGUAAAGGGGCACGAUUGUUAUUUCCCGGCGAGACUCUCAAGGCGAGUCCUUCAAAGUUCAACCGAUUCCGACGAAUCGAACCACAACACAUGCUCCAAAUCUUACUCACUAGAUGGGAUAAUCAAUAUGGAACCACUGUCACGAAAAAAUCAUAUGCAUCAAUUUUUGGUUCUGGUUUAUCACGAGUUCUACUAUACCGUUUCUUAUCGGGUGAAUACUGGCCACAGUUAACAUUUGUCUGACAAUACUCGGUGACGAUUUUUUGUAUGUGUACAUGGAUUAUAACUUAAUGCUAUUGAAAUGAUCUGACCUGUUUUUUAAUUCAUCUCGAUGAUCGACGUGGGCGUACAAUCUGGGAGCUUAAGGCGGUCAGUGGUUCGUGUCCUGGCUUGGCUGGUUAUCCUUUCCCACCGUUCGUACGUACGUUUUUCUUUUUGAUGGCGGGCCCGCUGAUUCCACUCGCGAGUGCUACUUCGAGGUCUACAGUUGAGUGUGUCCGGUAAUUGAUAACCGAUCGACACUCCGGAAGCAGCGGCAACCUCCGACGGCCCGUAGAUGUGAAGGGCGAAAUCACUAACUCGCCACGAGCUAAGCUACAAGCGGUCGAGUCUUCGGAUCACCCAGAGACCACACGGCGUGCGUAGUCCCCUACACCUACCUGGA